rnacentral:rRNA from 1 species
CAGUCGAGCGAACCACUUCGGUGGUGAGCGGCGAACGGGUGAGUAACACGUAGGUUAUCUGCCCAUCAGACGGGGACAACGAUUGGAAACGAUCGCUAAUACCGGAUAGGACGAAAGUUUAAAGGUGCUUCGGCACCACUGAUGGAUGAGCCUGCGGCGCAUUAGCUAGUUGGUAGGGUAAAGGCCUACCAAGGCGACGAUGCGUAGCCGACCUGAGAGGGUGAACGGCCACACUGGGACUGAGACACGGCCCAGACUCCUACGGGAGGCAGCAGUAGGGAAUCUUCGGCAAUGGGCGAAAGCCUGACCGAGCAACGCCGCGUGAAUGAUGAAGGCCUUCGGGUUGUAAAAUUCUGUUAUAAGGGAAGAAUGGCUCUAGUAGGAAAUGGCUAGAGUGUGACGGUACCUUAUGAGAAAGCCACGGCUAACUACGUGCCAGCAGCCGCGGUAAUACGUAGGUGGCGAGCGUUAUCCGGAAUUAUUGGGCGUAAAGAGCGCGCAGGUGGUUGAUUAAGUCUGAUGUGAAAGCCCACGGCUUAACCGUGGAGGGUCAUUGGAAACUGGUCAACUUGAGUGCAGAAGAGGGAAGUGGAAUUCCAUGUGUAGCGGUGAAAUGCGUAGAGAUAUGGAGGAACACCAGUGGCGAAGGCGGCUUCCUGGUCUGUAACUGACACUGAGGCGCGAAAGCGUGGGGAGCAAACAGGAUUAGAUACCCUGGUAGUCCACGCCGUAAACGAUGAGUGCUAAGUGUUGGGGGUCGAACCUCAGUGCUGAAGUUAAC